CAGCUCGAAUAUAUAUAUUUUAUAUUUAUAUAAUUUAUUUAAUUUAUAUUUUUAUAUAUAAAUAAAUAAUUAUAUAUAAUAUAUAUUUUUAUUAUUUAAUUUUUAAUAAAAUAAAAAUAUAAAUGCGAGCUUAAUUAUAAAAAGGCUCAUUUAUCUGUAAAGUUUCAACUAUUAGAUUAAAGUCUAAUGAAUAAGAUUUUAUAAAUUUAGUUUUUAUAUAUAUUCAAUCUAAUCAUUUUUAACUUAUUGUUUGUUGGCCCGCUUGUGAGCCAUAACGAGCCGAAUACGAGCUGAAUUUUUCGGCUCGAUACUUUAACGAGCCGGCCCUAGCUCACUCGUGUUCGGCUCGUUUACACGCCUACUCCCCUCACAUAUUAGCGAUCACACAAUCUCGUUUUUUUAGGGGCAAUUGCUUAUAUAUCUUUACAAAUUUUCGACUUUUUGAUUUAUCCUUCUUAUAAGGCUCAUAUUGAAAAUACUCUUUUUAUGUUCCGACCUAUUUCAAAUAUACCCUUGGAGUUAAUCUCUGUUAAUGAAUUGUUAGCAAUAGCUAUUAUCUGAAUGAAAUUACUAUUUUGCCCUUUUAAAUAUACCCUUUUACUAUCACUGACUUUUUUUAUUUGUCCUUAAGUUAGGGGCACAAAAAGUAUUUUGAUUUUUAUCUUUUCAAAUAUAUCCUUCUACCAUUAUCAAUAUUUCUUAUUUGUCCUUAAGUUAAAGGGCUAAAGAGAUAUUUUAAUUUUUUUUAAACUCUAGCAGAUAUUUAACUCACACUUAACCCAAGUUAAUUUAACGGGUAAUAACUAUAGAAAUAUUUUGGAAUAACAGAAAAACAUAUGAGAGGUACAUUGCAAAGAAAAAAGUAAAAGCAAAUGAGAUAUUUUCGAAGUAUUGAAGGGUAUACACGCAAUUAUUUCUUUUUGUUACGCAUAUGGAAGCAUAAAAGCACAAUAUUAAAAUAGAAAAAUAUAAUAUUAGGAUAUUCGGAUCAGGAGAAUAGGAGAAUAAAAUAUUGAGAUGUAAUAUUACAAUUUAAAUUUAUUAAUAUAAAAUAUAAUAUUAUUAAAAAAAUUUGCACAUUUUCGUCCAUUUUUUGUUGGGUAUUUAAAUAAUUUUAACUUUCUAAAAUUAUAUAUCCAAUCGUAUUUAAAUAAUAGAUAAACUUCAAAUACCAUCUCUGUAAUUUUGCACUUUCUCACUUUAGUACUGGUGGUUUAAAGUGUAUCAAUUUAGUACAAUAUGGUUUUUUUUUUUUUUUUCAUCAGCUCCUUCGUUAACAUUUCUUUAAAUUAUAUACAAAAAACUUCAGAUAUUCACUUUAGUAUAUUUUAGUUUUAACUUUGUCACUGAUUUAACAAAAAAAAAUUACCAGAAAAAAUAAUAAAAAAUAAAAUAAAAUUACGGAUACUGAAUUGAUACACUUUAAAUUAUAGAGUACUAAAAUAUAAAAAGUUUGAAAACAUAUGUGUGAUAUUGAAGUUUUU
rnacentral:lncRNA from 1 species